rnacentral:rRNA from 1 species
GCAAGUCGAGCGCACCCUUCGGGGCGAGCGGCGGACGGGUUAGUAACGCGUGGGAAUAUACCCUUCACUACGGAAUAGCCUCGGGAAACUGAGAGUAAUACCGUAUACGCCCUUCGGGGGAAAGAUUUAUCGGUGAUGGAUUAGCCCGCGUAAGAUUAGAUAGUUGGUGGGGUAAUGGCCUACCAAGCCUACGAUCUAUAGCUGGUUUGAGAGGAUGAUC